AUUGAACGCUGGCGGCAGGCCUAACACAUGCAAGUCGAGCGAGCGGCGGACGGGGGAGUAUUGUCUGGGAAACUGCCUGAUGGAGGGGGAUAACUACUGGAAACGGUAGCUAAUAUCGCAUAUCAUCAGAUGUGCCCAGAUGGGAUUAGCUAGUGGGUGGGGUAACGGCGCACCUAGGCGACGAUCCCUAGCUGGUCUGAGAGGAUGACCAGCCACACUGGAACUGAGACACGGUCCAGACUCCUACGGGAGGCAGCAGUGGGGAAUAUUGCACAAGGGGCGCAAGCCUGAUGCAGCCAUGCCGCGUGUGUGAAGAAGGCCUUCGGGUUGUAAAGCACUUUCAGCGGGGAGGCGUUACCCGCAGAAGAAGCACCGGCUAACUCCGUGCCAGCAGCCGCGGUAAUUC
rnacentral:rRNA from 1 species